rnacentral:lncRNA from 1 species
UGCUGUUCCCCAUAAUUGGAUUCCGUAGGUUCAGACUGGUUUUACUACGGCCUUAUAGAGCGUAUUUUUGUUCUGCGUGCCGUCAAAAAGAUGACACCAAAAAGUAUUGAAUAUCAGAUCUAUUCUAUACCUCGUUGGUGAUAUUAUCGAUCUUUUUAUCAUUUUCCACAUUACCGAUUAUAGCGCAGAAUAAGAUUACAACAUUCACAGCGGAGAAAAUUGGGACUAAAUACAUGAAAACUUAAUUGUUUCUAAAAAAUAACAUGUGGAACAAUAUAUAGGAAAAAGGUAUUGUUAUAAAUUUGAUCAUAAAUAAGAUAUGAAAAACUUAAAUCUCAUAUGAGAUAUUUUACCGGAGAAAUAGAAAUACCGACCGGGUAAAACAGUCACUGGAUCCAUAGGAUUUUUCCACCGCUUGCAAUUCAGAGCGUUCAAAAACAGAAGUGAUUAUGUAGCGAAAUCAUAAAGAAUAACGCUAUAAACAAUUAAAAUAACCUAAAGUUAUACAAAAGUGUCAUUCCGAGGUUAUGAUUUGCUCUAUAUCAAGGAAACGUCAGUUCCGAUACCUUAUUUAUACGUAUAUAAGUAUAUAGAAACGCAAGGUGUAUAAUCUCGUAAAAUUUCAAACUAACCUAAAACAGGGGAACAGUAUAUGUUUUCCUUUAGGAAAAUAUUCAGGUCAGGGUGCUACCUGAGCGCUCAAAGUAAGGGCGCGUAUUACUGCAAAAGGAUUUCAGAUACAUACGCAGGUCGGACGUUUUAUUACAGUUUUCAUCCGCAGAUUAGCCCCUUUGGAACCAUCGAUACUCGAUUCAGGACCUUUAUAGCCCCCCAUAAAAGUAUCUAUUUGGUGUUUUCGACUGGACCGACUGGACCGAAACGCAACUCGAACAAAAAGCUAUCCCCCGGAAUUUCUCGGUAUACGUGAAACGUUGUUACGUCUCGGGGUCCAAUUACGUUAGGAUCGCCGACGUACCUUUACAAUUUCAAAGACGUUGCGCAUCCCUUUCAUUUCCUUUUUUAUCUUCCUCUACAGAUCCUGAUUUUUACUAUUUCAUGGCGCGAUACUGUAGAACUUAGUAUAUACGUAUAUAUGUAUGGAUGGGAAUGUUAAAAGCUUGUGGUUAUACGAUUAGAAUUGUAUGUGUGAGUUUUGAAGAAAGAGGAAGCACUUUUUGACUUCUUUGUGUGCUUAGUGAAGUUUACGGAAUCGUGGAUUUCCACGCUUAGAUCUUUAGGUUAGACUGUUCCUUUUUCCUUGUUUUGUAUAGUAAAGAUUGUAAAUCAUAGAUAUUGUGGCAUACAGAGAAGAAGUUGUUGGAAGCAAGCAACAUGUAUAUAGUUUGAAGUUGUAUUGAGUUAAAAGGGUUUGUAGAGAAUGGCCGUUUGGAGAUUAAUAAUGAAACUACGCUUGGAGUAUAUCGAAAUAAACAUAUGCUAAUUUAAAUAUAUUAAAGAGUAUUUAACACUUAUCGUACAUAUAUUUAUACGUAGUGUUUAGCCAUGUAUACGAUUUUCUCAUAAGUAAUGUUUUUCUUACGGUUGAUAGGUUUGCGAGGAAAAUAGCAGGAAAAUAUCGUGACCGUAAGAGAUAGAAAAGAGACACAACGAGUAGGACGAAAAAUGAAUGAAAUACACUAGAGCGAAGUCAAGUAAAUUAAUGAAGAUGAACAAACAUAUCAAGAGGAAAAGUACACGAAAACAUAAACAAUAUUUAGAAGAAGACUGUUCAAAAGAACAAGGAUAUAAAACCAUAAUACAACGUAAAAAAGGAAUACGCAAGAAACAAUACGUAUAUGUAUAUACAAAAAAAUGAAGAACGAGAAAAAAACAAAUAUGACGAGUAGAAGAUGGAGGACAGAGAAGAGAGGGAACGAGUACUCGGUAGCGUGUAAGCCAGCAGGGGUUGGUUUCAGGGGAUGAAGCGUGGUCGGGGUUGGACAUCGAUCUGGUAGUUAAGUUGAGGGCUCCCAUGGGACUCGUUGCCACCUUCGCAGCUUCGUCUCGUCUUGCUUUAUUUGCUCCCUUUCUCAGUAUUCACUGAAUACACACUUUGGAAUCGGUUACCGCGUUGCCUGGCCAUUCACAUAAACCGCAUUACACGUUUUUAUGCUUGUAUUUAUGUACGAUCUAACGAGAGCCAUUCAAGAGCCGUCAUCGAAACAAACCAAGGAACUUUUCCGUAUCGCAAACAAAUCGCCAGGUCGUAAAUGAUAUGUUAUUAUUCUACAGAUUUGACGAUCUCCAAGAGCGUUUCACGAUCGAAAAUUGACCUCGUUGAAUUUUAGUAGUAUUCCAGUAAUUGCUGGUCGUUAAUGAUUUGUAUUUCUAACGUAUUUAUAAUGUAUUUGUAAAUUUCCGUUAACGAGCAGUAUAUAAAUGAAUACAAGCUCAAAUGUCGCGUCAGUCGUGUGCCAAGAGUGUACAAACAUGUUUCUUGUAACAUACGAUCGUUCUUAUAUCAAUUUAAAUGUGUACAUGUAUUAAUUUCUACAUUUUAUGACCCUGAUCUUCGAGUUUUAAUAUAACAGAAUUUAAGAGUUUUAGAGAAGAGACUAUUAAUCUGUACGACUAUCGUUAAAAAUGAAUGGUCCUAUAUAUAUUGGUCUGAAGAUUACAAGCUUGCAAACGCUCUUAAAAGCACACGGACCGAGGAACUCAAAAGGUGUAGCAGUAAAGCCAGCAUAAAACGCGUUAACACGGAAAGAGUGGAAAAAGGGACGAGAAGAAAAACAAGUCCAGACGCGGAGUCUCGAGAUGGUAAUAAAAAUGAAGGAUUAAAAUUGGCCAUGAUCAGAAACAACAAUGCAUGCUAACAUUUCUCAUGUUCUAAGGCAUGCUUCACCUACGUAGAAUCUUAAGAAUCUGAAGAAUUUCGAGAAUCCUAGAAUUUGAUUUAAUAUAUUCCAUCAUCAUGUCGCGAGAGUUUGUACAAUGUAAAUUUUCUA